GGGCGCAAGCCUGAUGCAGCCAUGCCGCGUGUAUGAAGAAGGCCUUCGGGUUGUAAAGUACUUUCAGCGGGGAGGAAGGGAGUAAAGUUAAUACCUUUGCUCAUUGACGUUACCCGCAGAAGAAGCACCGGCUAACUCCGUGCCAGCAGCCGCGGUAAUACGGAGGGUGCAAGAUUCGAUGCAACGCGAAGAACCUUACCUGGUCUUGACAUCCACAGAACUUUCCAGAGAUGGAUUGGUGCCUUCGGGAACUGUGAGACAGGUGCUGCAUGGCUGUCGUCAGCUCGUGUUGUGAAAUGUUGGGUUAAGUCCCGCAACGAGCGCAACCCUUAUCCUUUGUUGCCAGCGGUCCGGCCGGGAACUCAAAGGAGACUGCCAGUGAUAAACUGGAGGAAGGUGGGGAUGACGUCAAGUCAUCAUGGCCCUUACGACCAGGGCUACACACGUGCUACAAUGGCGCAUACAAAGAGAAGCGACCUCGCGAGAGCAAGCGGACCUCAUAAAGUGCGUCGUAGUCCGGAUUGGAGUCUGCAACUCGACUCCAUGAAGUCGGAAUCGCUAGUAAUCGUGGAUCAGAAUGCCACGGUGAAUACGUUCCCGGGCCUUGUACACACCGCCCGUCACACC
rnacentral:rRNA from 1 species